UACAUGGGGUGCAAACGUUGCUCGGAAUUAUUGGGCGUAAAGCGCACGUAGGCGGUUUGUUAAGUCGGAUGUGAAAUCCCUCGGCUCAACUGAGGAAGUGCAUCCGAAACUGACAGGCUUGAGUACUAAAGAGGGUCGCGGAAUUCCCGGUGUAGAGGUGAAAUUCGUAGAUAUCGGGAGGAACACCGGUGGCGAAGGCGGCGACCUGGGUAGAUACUGACGCUGAGGUGCGAAAGCGUGGGGAGCAAACAGG
rnacentral:rRNA from 1 species